rnacentral:lncRNA from 1 species
CACAUCUAGACGUUUCUCUUGGAGAGGGUCUCCCGUGUCUCUGGCUCAUUCCGCCCGUUUUCCAUGGGUUUGCUGACUGGGCUGCACCGAGACCUUGAUUUGCCAUUUACGAAGCCGCGUACGACAUGACUGUGUGCUUUGGGUCAUUGUCACGUCGAUGUGAAAUUCAUUAUAAUUUGCUGCAUUUCAUUGACAUUUGCACUUUGUUUUGUAUUCCUAAUUACAUAUUUUUGCACACAAGGGGUUAACUGUUACAAGUCUGUUAAAAUAAAUGAUUUUAAGGACUACUGCAUGAAAAUCAUGUUUUAAAUUCCCUCAAACAAGACGAAGAACAAGCAGAGCAACGCUCCGCAGAGACGGGGUGAAGGAGUAUUAUUUCCUGAUAUUACCUUUGUUUUGUCUAUUGACUUUCAGUCCUUCGUCCAUAAUCUAACCUGUUAUUGUUUAAUCUGUUUCAGAUGCCCAAACCAAUUCAACCAUUGGUAAGUUAAAUGGCGCCCCCGCUGCGGUCAGAAUCCGAUUCCUCUCCCUACACUACACUAGCCUUUACUGGAAGGAGAUUCCACGUUCCCACACUUCCAGUGUACAAUCCACGUCUGUCAGAAUUCCCACAGUUAAUGUUGGGGGGUUAUUUACUCAACGGAGAAUUGUUGGGAAUACACCGUGGAGUUUAAGGCCAAAAUAGCCGCAGUGGAGAAAUCCUCCAUGUUCGCUAUGGCCGCAGUUUGAUUACUCUAGCCUUAAAUCUUAAGUUUACUUUGACUUUCACUUUAAUGAAGAGCCCUAGGGAUUAAAUUUGGCCUCGAAGAGGGGAAACCGUUAUUCUUUAUGUUAAAGACUUUCAGUCUGAUACGAUUUAGUCAUAUUCUCCCUUCCAGCUGUAAAUAUUAAGGAGUGAAGGCAGGAUUUGGUCAUUUUCAGAAAUGCUGAGAAUUUUGAAUUUAGUUUCCCAGGAUUAUUCACAAACGUGAGAAUUCAAAGUGAAUUUCAAAUCCAAGUUGAAAUGGCACACAUGGGACAAUUCUCCAAGUCAUCUUGGCUCCCAGUUCUGUUAGCUUGGCUUUCAGUUUGAAUUUAAUCUGAGACCACCAUGACCUGGUCACAUGAUGGACGCGGAUCACAUGACUCCUUUUCUGAUUACAGGUGUCCCGGGAUGGGGAGUGGCGCUCCUCGUUAUGACCUCGCUCAUCCUGUCCUACCUGCUAAUGUGCAUGUUCUGCCUGGUAAGCCUCACCCAAACAUCCCGCACGCUAUACCUUCCCUCUGUUUGCAGACGCCAUUUAAUAUUAUUACUGUGAGAUGAUCCUGUUACAUGCUGCAGGAAGGGGAGAUUCAAUAUCAAAGCCCACAGGCCAUCCCUUGUGACGCAGUUACAGUGUAUAGAUCACGACGCUGCAGUCUCACUGCUCAAUUCUCUGCCUUUUAGGAGUUAAAUCACUUUGUUUAUACAGCCCUGGUCACUCCUACUGCAUUUGACUUACGCAGCCUUCCUAAACACUUCCUGUAAAGAGUCAUCUAAUGUUUACACUUCCUUUAUUGCAAAUUCUGUUUAAUUUAGAAUUUCCCAUCGCCCUGCUAGACCAUGCAUGAAUCUCCAGUAUAUAAUUAAAGUUCAAUUGAUAGAGCAGGAAAUAGAAUCUUUUAAAGUAACUUACAUCUGACUGAAAUUGAAACCAUUUUUUCACGUAGAGUAGGUCAGUCACAGCCAGGGGAGGUGCGGCUAGAACUGCAUAAACAGAAACAAAAGUGAUUUAACGCCUAAAUGGAUGAGAAUUGAGCAGUGAGACUGCAGAGGCAUGAUUGAUACACCAAAACUACUUCAUUAAGCUAAAGUUGUUUUGGUGACAAUGUCCCUUUAAAAUUUGCAAAAUGCAUUUACUAAAUCAUGAAAACAGCAGUGGAAAGAAGUGAACUAAACUCUGCAGGUGCUUUAUCCACAUACUAUCAAAAUAAACUCCACCCAAAAUAAAUAAAAUGCAGCAGAAAAGGCAAUAGCUUGCGCUAGGAAUGCACAGUCUUUUUUGUUUAAACGUCACCAUGAUAUUUUCAAUGUGUCUCGUUCCAGCCCAUGCUGAGCAAGCAUCACGGAGGCGGACAGUCUGGACAUUGCAGCUAAUCAGAUCCUGCUGGAGCACAGCGGUAACAAGGCAGUGGAUUGUGUUAAAAGCGGUUUAAUAAAAUGUAUUUAUUCACA